rnacentral:misc_RNA from 1 species
AAGGAUCAUUACCGAGUUUACAACUCCCAAACCCCUGUGAACAUACCUUAAUGUUGCCUCGGCGGAUCAGCCCGCGCCCCGUAAAACGGGACGGCCCGCCAGAGGACCCAAACUCUAAUGUUUCUUAUUGUAACUUCUGAGUAAAACAAACAAAUAAAUCAAAACUUUCAACAACGGAUCUCUUGGUUCUG